rnacentral:rRNA from 1 species
GACGAACGCUGGCGGCGUGCUUAACACAUGCAAGUCGAACGGAAAGGCCCUGCUUUUGUGGGGUGCUCGAGUGGCGAACGGGUGAGUAACACGUGAGUAACCUGCCCUUGACUUUGGGAUAACUUCAGGAAACUGGGGCUAAUACCGGAUAGGAGCUCCUGCUGCAUGGUGGGGGUUGGAAAGUUUCGGCGGUUUGGGAUGGACUCGCGGCUUAUCAGCUUGUUGGUGGGGUAGUGGCUUACCAAGGCUUUGACGGGUAGCCGGCCUGAGAGGGUGACCGGCCACAUUGGGACUGAGAUACGGCCCAGACUCCUACGGGAGGCAGCAGUGGGGAAUAUUGCACAAUGGGCGGAAGCCUGAUGCAGCAACGCCGCGUGCGGGAGGACGGCCUUCGGGUUGUAAACCGCUUUCGCCUGUGACGAAGCGUGAGUGACGGUAACGGGUAAAGAAGCACCGGCUAACUACGUG